GUAUUCCGCUCCAUAGCGUAUAUUAAAGUUGCUGCAGUUAAAAAGCUCGUAGUUGAAUUUCGGAACCAAUAUGUUGGUUGUGCCUCGGUACGUACUGGCAUUGUUGGUUUCUCCCUUCUGACGAACUAUGAUGUCAUUAAUUUGGUGUCAUGGGGAAUCAGGACUGUUACUUUGAAAAAAUUAGAGUGUUUAAAGCAGGCUCACGCUUGAAUACAUUAGCAUGGAAUAAUGAAAUAGGACGUUUGAUUCUAUUUUGUUGGUUUCUAGGAUUGACGUAAUGAUUAAUAGGGAUAGUUGGGGGCAUUAGUAUUUAAUUGUCAGAGGUGAAAUUCUUGGAUUUAUUGAAGACUAACUACUGCGAAAGCAUUUGCCAAGGAUGCUUUCAUUAAUCAAGAACGAAAGUUAGGGCAUCGAAGACGAUCAGAUACCGUCGUAGUCUUAACCAUAAACUAUGCCGACUAGGGAUCGGAUGAUGUUAAUUUUUUAAUGACUCAUUCGGCACCUUACGGGAAAC
rnacentral:rRNA from 1 species